rnacentral:rRNA from 1 species
UACGGAGGGUGCAAGCGUUAAUCGGAAUUACUGGGCGUAAAGCGUGCGCAGGCGGUGAUGUAAGACAGAUGGGAAAUCCCCGGGCUCAACCUGGGAACUGCAUUUGUGACUGCACAGCUGGAGUGCGGCAGAGGGGGAUGGAAUUCCGCGUGUAGCAGUGAAAUGCGUAGAUAUGCGGAGGAACACCGAUGGCGAAGGCAAUCCCCUGGGCCUGCACUGACGCUCAUGCACGAAAGCGUGGGGAGCAAACAGG